AUUGAACGCUGGCGGAAUGCUUUACACAUGCAAGUCGAACGGCAGCACGGGUGCUUGCACCUGGUGGCGAGUGGCGGACGGGUGAGUAAUGCAUCGGAACGUGCCGUAUAGUGGGGGAUAACGCAUCGAAAGGUGUGCUAAUACCGCAUACGCCCUGAGGGGGAAAGUGGGGGACCGUAAGGCCUCACGCUAUACGAGCGGCCGAUGUCCGAUUAGCUAGUUGGUGGGGUAAAGGCUCACCAAGGCGACGAUCGGUAGCUGGUCUGAGAGGACGACCAGCCACACUGGGACUGAGACACGGCCCAGACUCCUACGGGAGGCAGCAGUGGGGAAUUUUGGACAAUGGGGGCAACCCUGAUCCAGCCAUUCCGCGUGAGUGAAGAAGGCCUUCGGGUUGUAAAGCUCUUUUGUCAGGGAGGAAAUCCUUAGCGUUAAUACCGUUGGGGGAUGACAGUACCUGAAGAAUUAGGACCGGCUAACUACGUGCCAGCAGCCGCAGUAAGAC
rnacentral:rRNA from 1 species